AGGCGACGACGGGUAGCCGGCCUGAGAGGGCGACCGGCCACACUGGGACUGAGACACGGCCCAGACUCCUACGGGAGGCAGCAGUGGGGAAUAUUGCGCAAUGGGCGAAAGCCUGACGCAGCAACGCCGCGUGGGGGAUGACGGCCUUCGGGUUGUAAACCCCUUUCAGCAGGGACGAAGCGAAAGUGACGGUACCUGCAGAAGAAGCGCCGGCUAACUACGUGCCAGCAGCCGCGGUAAUACGUAGGGCGCAAGCGUUGUCCGGAAUUAUUGGGCGUAAAGAGCUCGUAGGUGGUUUGUCGCGUCUGCUGUGAAAACCUAAGGCUUAACCUUGGGCUUGCAGUGGAUACGGGCAGACUAGAGGUAGGUAGGGGA
rnacentral:rRNA from 1 species